UACGUAGGGUGCAAGCGUUGUCCGGAAUUAUUGGGCGUAAAGAGCUCGUAGGCGGUCUGUCGCGUCUGCUGUGAAAACUCGGGGCUUAACCCCGGGCCUGCAGUGGGUACGGGCAGACUAGAGUGCGGUAGGGGAGACUGGAAUUCCUGGUGUAGCGGUGAAAUGCGCAGAUAUCAGGAGGAACACCGAUGGCGAAGGCAGCACUCUGGGCCGGUACUGACGCUGAGGAGCGAAAGCGUGGGGAGCAAACAGG
rnacentral:rRNA from 1 species